UCUGGUAGUGUGAGGGGAGACAAUGGGGGCUUUGACAGAUGGGCUGUGACGUCUCCUGGUAGUGUGAGGGGAGACAAUGGGGGCUGUGACAGAUGGGCUGUGAAGUCUUCUGGCAGUGUGAGGGGAGACAAUGGGGGCUGUGACGUCUACUGGUAGUGUGAGGGGAGACAAUGGGGGCUGUGACGUCUCCUGGCAGUGUGAGGGGAGACAAUGGGGGCUGUGACGUCUCCUGGCAGUGUGAGGGGAGACAAUGGGGGCUGUGACGUCUCCUGGUAGUGUGAGGGGAGACAAUGGGGGCUGUGGCGUCUCCUGGCAGUGUGAGGGGAGACAAUCGGGGCUGUGACAUCUCCUGGUAGUGUGAGGGGAGACAAUGGGGGCUGUGCCAUCUCCUGGCAGUGUGAGGGGAGACAAUGGGGGCUGUGCCGUCUCCUGGUAGUGUGAGGGGAGAGAAUGGGGGCUGU
ensembl:lncRNA